AAACAAGUUUUUGUUAAUAACUUUUAAACCCUAAAGAACUCGCUUGAUAAUUAAUAUUAGGAUCAAAACGCUGUUUCUACCUAUAAUGACUACUUUUGAUAAAUUUGACACCCAGCUUUCCAUCAUGAAAAGAGCAAACUAUGAUGAAACAAACGAACUGCCUAUAAACGUUAUGUCGAGUGUUAUGAACUGCAUAACACCAUUGAAUAAUUAUCGCUGGCCAUCUGAGUGCAACGACAAUAUAUCGACAUCAUAUGGAGGAGCCAUGGGUAGUAAAAAAACAAUUCAUCCUGAAUUACUUUCUUUGGCUCCACCGCUAAUGGACUUCGAAGACGAACUAAUUUGGUUUGAUAAUGUAGGAAAGCGCAAUGAAAAAAUAUCUUACGAUAACUCCAACUGUAUUGACGCAUACUCUAAGCAACUUUUAACUCUGGCCUUCUAUCAGCCAUUAGCGCCACAUGAGCAGAAAAUUUUGUUGGAAGAGGUCGCGAAGCACACAAACUUUAUUUAUCAAAUAGGCUUAACUCCGGCAAAGUUGCCCCAACUUGUGGAAAAUAAUCCCCUUAUAUCAAUAGAAAUUUUACUUAGACUUAUGAAGACUGUGGAAAUAACGGACUAUUUUAAUGUUUUGGUACAAAUGGAUAUCACAUUACAUUCAAUGGAAGUGGUCAACAGGCUCACCACCUCAGUAGAUUUACCCACAGAGUUCAUUCAUUUGUAUAUCAGCAAUUGCAUAUCUACGUGUGAAACUGUUAAGGACAAAUAUAUGCAAUCACGUCUGGUGCGUUUAGUUUGUGUUUUUCUGCAGUCACUUAUAAGGAAUAAAAUAAUUAAUGUUAAGGAAUUGCUGAUUGAAAUUGAAGCUUUCUGUGUAGGCUUCAGCCGCAUCAAAGAAGCUGUAGGUUUAUAUCGACUUUUAAAGAACUUGGAGCUUGGCGAACAUGGACCUAGUGCCAGUACUGGAAGCUUAUCAUAUUCUACAAACAAAAACGAUAGCGCAUCACCUAAAUGAGAAUUCCUCUUUGCACUCGAAGUUUCAAGAAUACAAACAUGCGAAAGAGACAAAAAUGUCAAACACCCGGUUCCCUCCGAAGUGCCUCUAAAGCAAAACUGUUUUAAAUACAGCCCAACCUAGUGCGAGUUGUGUCAUUUAUAUUUCUGGCCCAACAAUGAAAAACUGCGCAUUGAUGGUCUAAAGCGGUGUUAUUGUUUUUCAAAACGUACCACUUUUUAAAUAAUCUGAUCAUUGAUUUGUUAAUUAGUAAAUACACCGAAAAGUUAAUGAAACUACCUUCUUUAAAUAUUAUUGGCAUGUGAAGAGUGACAAGCUCAAAUUAACGGGACGGUACACAAUUUUGAUCUUCGUGAUAGACAUAUGAUCCUUUGAGAGCUUACUGCUAUUAACAGCAUUUCGCGAUGAAGUUAACAGAAAGUACCAGUGUGCGUAUAUUUAUUUCUAUGUAUGUAUUUUAGAAAAGAUGAUCACAUCACGAAAUAAAUUUGAGAAUAAAGAAA